rnacentral:rRNA from 1 species
UGCGAGGGGUGCAAGCGUUGCUCGGAAUUAUUGGGCGUAAAGGGUAGGUAGGUGGUCUCAUUUGUCUGGGGUGAAAGCCUUGAGCUUAACUCAAGAAGUGCCCCAGAAACGGUGAGACUCGAGUACUGGAGAGGGUCGUGGAAUUCCCGGUGUAGCGGUGAAAUGCGUAGAGAUCGGGAGGAACACCAGAGGCGAAGGCGGCGACCUGGACAGUUACUGACACUCAACUACGAAAGCGUGGGGAGCAAACAGG